rnacentral:lncRNA from 1 species
CUUCUGACCCUGGGGAUAACCCAGCCUCCCUUCCCAGAAGUCCUUGCAUUCAUGGACUAGCAUGGGUCAGAGAAACAGCUGGACUGGGAAUAGAGCCUUGCACUGACCGGUGUGGGCGGCCGCCGAGCUCCAGGUACGUGGAAAACGCGGGAAGCGCAGGCCGGACCUGCGGCUCAGCAACCGCGCGGAGACUCCUCUCAGGGACAUGUAGCCGGUGAGCAUUGCAGGAACCAUAACCUGGAAGGGCUGAGCGUCAGCGGGGACCAGCCUUCUCCCACCCCAUACCCUUCAU